ACCUGAUGAUGUGGACAUUUAUGAAGGAGGUCCCUAAAUCACUUUCAGGUCUCAAAGAAAAGUUCCCCCUCCGUCUGUUUCAAACUUGUGAUUGCCCUUCGUAGCU